rnacentral:rRNA from 1 species
AUUGAACGCUGGCGGCAUGCCUUACACAUGCAAGUCGAACGGCAGCACGGGAGCAAUCCUGGUGGCGAGUGGCGAACGGGUGAGUAAUACAUCGGAACGUGUCCAGUUGUGGGGGAUAGCCCGGCGAAAGCCGGAUUAAUACCGCAUACGACCUACGGGUGAAAGCGGGGGAUCGCAAGACCUCGCGCUAUUGGGGCGGCCGAUGUCAGAUUAGCUUGUUGGUGGGGAAAAGCCUACCAAGGCGACGAUCUGUAGCUGGUCUGAGAGGACGACCAGCCACACUGGGACUGAGAAACGGCCCAGACUCCUACGGGAGGCAGCAGUGGGGAAUUUUGGACAAUGGGCGCAAGCCUGAUCCAGCCAUGCCGCGUGCGGGAAGAAGGCC